GGACGAACGCUGGCGGCGUGCUUAACACAUGCAAGUCGAACGGAAAGGCCCUGCUUUUGUGGGGUGCUCGAGUGGCGAACGGGUGAGUAACACGUGAGUAACCUGCCCUUGACUUUGGGAUAACUUCAGGAAACUGGGGCUAAUACCGGAUAGGAGCUCCUGCUGCAUGGUGGGGGUUGGAAAGUUUCGGCGGUUGGGGAUGGACUCGCGGCUUAUCAGCUUGUUGGUGGGGUAGUGGCUUACCAAGGCUUUGACGGGUAGCCGGCCUGAGAGGGUGGCCGGCCACAUUGGGACUGAGAUACGGCCCAGACUCCUACGGGAGGCAGCAGUGGGGAAUAUUGCACAAUGGGCGGAAGCCUGAUGCAGCAACGCCGCGUGCGGGAUGACGGCCUUCGGGUUGUAAACCGCUUUCGCCUGUGACGAAGCGUGAGUGACGGUAAUGGGUAAAGAAGCACCGGCUAACUACGUG
rnacentral:rRNA from 1 species